GGUCAGUAGGUUGGUCGUGCCAACGGUACGUACUGGUCUCACUGAUUCCUCCUUCCUGAAGAACCGUAAUGCCGUUAAUUUGGUGUUGCGGGGAAACAGGACUGUUACUUUGAAAAAAUUAGAGUGUUUAAAGCAAGCUAACGCUUGAAUACAUUAGCAUGGAAUAAUGAAAUAGGACGAUCGAUCCUAUUUUGUUGGUUUCUAGGAUUGACGUA
rnacentral:rRNA from 1 species